rnacentral:rRNA from 1 species
UACGAAGGGGGCUAGCGUUGCUCGGAAUGACUGGGCGUAAAGGGCGCGUAGGCGGUGAUAUGUGAAUGGUGUGAAAGCCCCGGGCUUAACCUGGGAGGAGCAUCGUUGACUAUAUGACUGGAGUAGAUGAGAGGGUGGUGGAAUUUCCGGUGUAGCGGUGAAAUGCGUAGAUAUCGCUUGGAACGCCGACGGCGAAAGCAGUCUGCUGGGGGCCUUCUGACGCUGAGACACGAAAGCCAGGGGAGCGAACGGG